AAAUUGCUAUAUAACAAAAAUAUUAAAAAUUCAUAUAAAUUAAUAGAUAGAUACAUAUAUAUAUAUAUAUAUAUAUAUAGAGUUUAGCUGGAAUGCUAUUGGUAGCAAACGGGCUCCGUUGCCACCCAUUUGUUUUCGAUGAUGGGCCUUUCAAAUCGACGAUCGACACCGUUGAACAUGAUCUAUAUCACUUGAAGUAUUUAGAAAUUAAAUUUCAAAUCUUUUCGACAUCCUUUACCUAAUGAUCAAAGGGUUUCAAAAGUAGUAAUUUUAAUGGUUGAUAUGAGGGGUUUUCUCGUUUAACGGUAUAAAACUAUCCAAAUCAAUUGAAUUUUGGUUAGAAAAUUUUUUAAACUAUUUAAAACAAGAUCUAUACUCUCGAUCAUGAUUACAAAAUUUCUAUCAUCACUUUUUAGAGGAUAUUCAUUUUCAGCCAUUCAUUUUUAUACCCACUUGAUGGACAAGAAAACAAUAUCGGAAAAGUAUGAAAUUUGAUUUCUAGUUACUUCAAGUGGUAUAGAUCAUUUUCAACGGUGCCGAUCGUCGAUUUGUAGGCUCCAUCAUCAAAAUCAAAUGGGUGGCAACGGAGCCCGUUUGCUACCG
rnacentral:lncRNA from 1 species